rnacentral:tRNA from 2 species
GGUCUGGUAACUCAGCCUGGUUAGAGUACCUGUCUUAUAAGCAGGAGGUCCUGGGUUCAAAUCCCAGCCAGACCA